rnacentral:rRNA from 1 species
AAGAAAACAACUGUGAUACCCUUAGUAAUGGCGAAUGAACAGGGUAAAGCCCAUCACUGAACCGCCUGCCAUAUCGGUAGUGUGGAAUGUAGUGUUCGGGAUUGUCUUAUCAUGAUUUAGCAGCUUGUCUAAGUACACCUUGACUGGGGCCGCAUCUCAUAGAGGGUGAUAGGCCCGUAAGGCAGUUUGCUUUAAUAUGCUGACUUUUCCCUAGAGUCGAGUUGCUUGAAAGUGCAGCUCAAAGUGCGAGGUAAGCUCCUCGUAAGGCUAAAUAUCACCCCGAGACCGAUAGCAAACAAGUACCGUGGGGAAAGUUGAAAAG